CCGCCGCCGCCGCCGCUGCUGUAGGGGUCCAGGCGGUCGGAGACGCUCUCGGCGCUGGGGCUGAAGCUCUCGCAGUCGGAGCCCGCCGGCCCCAGCUCGCCCAGCAGAGAGGGGCACGACAGCGGCGGCCCCGCCAGAGAGAGGAGAAGAGAGCCAAGUACCACCCCGGCUGCACGUUAAGCUCUGCAGAAGGCAGUGGGCAGAGCUCAGGUCCCCGCAUCCUUCAAGCAGGACAGCAGGCUGUGAAGCACCCUUCCAGCUGAAGGAACGACUUGCCCCUGCUUAUCCUGGGCUGGAGCCAGGUUCAGCACUCUUGUUGCGGAGGUCAGUUGGCGCACAGCAUUAUCUGCCAGCAGUAUGUGGCUCUCCCAUCCCCAAGGAGGAAGGUUUUUACUCUUGCAGUGCCCCUGGUUGCCACUUAGAUUUCAACUUCUGGCAGAGCUGAGCUGUGCUGCACUCAGCACAGUAAGGUUUUCCUACGCAGUCACCAGCAGUGUGGCAUGGAGAUCCUCCGCUUGCACAAAUGCUUUCCGUUGUGACGUACGCAGGUUGCAGUGUGUCAACAUUGCAGUUGAACAGUUUGGAAGUGCAGUUUCAUUAGCAAAUUUUGGAAUUUUUUUCUCCAGCACAAACUUCUUGUUUCCAUCAAGUAUGAAGAAAGCAAUUUACAGCAAUAAAUUCCAGCUUCUCCAUUGCUGGAAACCACACAGCGAGGAAACAAAUUCAAGAAGAAACACCAGCUUUGUUGCCAGGAUUGAUUACAGGUCUAUGUUAUAUAUUCUAGUGUCAUGUUAAAUCCUGUAUUAAAAUUAAACCAUUAUUUUACAGA